rnacentral:rRNA from 1 species
GACGUAGGGGGCGAGCGUUGUCCGGAUUUACUGGGCGUAAAGGGCGCGUAGGCGGCUUGUUAAGUGUGGUGUGAAAUCUCCAGGGCUCAACCCGGAAACCGCACCGCAUACUGGCUAGCUUGAGGAACGCAGAGGUGACUGGAAUUCCCGGUGUAGCGGUGAAAUGCAUUGAUAUCGGGAGGAACUCCAAUGGCGAAGGCAGGUCACGGGGCGUCACCUGACGCUGAGGCGCGAAAGCGUGGGUAGCAAACAGG